rnacentral:rRNA from 1 species
GACGUAGGGCGCGAGCGUUGUCCGGAUUUAUUAGGCGUAAAGAGCUCGUAGGCGGUUUGUCGCGUCGACUGUGAAAACCCGAGGCUUAACCUCGGGCCUGCAGUCGAUACGGGCAGACUAGAGUUCGGUAGGGGAGACUGGAAUUCCUGGUGUAGCGGUGAAAUGCGCAGAUAUCAGGAGGAACACCGGUGGCGAAGGCGGGUCUCUGGGCCGAUACUGACGCUGAGGAGCGAAAGCGUGGGGAGCGAACAGG